rnacentral:tRNA from 1 species
GUAGUGCCGGUGAAGUUGGAGAGUCACACCAGGCUGUAAACCUGGCGCCUUAUGGCUGAGUAGGUUCGAUUCCUACGCGCUGCA